GUUUAUGAUGAUUACCACUUAUUAUCACGACGGUCAACUGCGUUCUUCGAUUGUUUAUCUUAGAACUUUGAUGAUAUUCUGCCUGUGACAGGGCGUGGAACUGAUU
rnacentral:snoRNA from 1 species